rnacentral:rRNA from 1 species
GAUGAACGCUAGCUACAGGCUUAACACAUGCAAGUCGAGGGGAAACGACAUCGAAAGCUUGCUUUUGAUGGGCGUCGACCGGCGCACGGGUGAGUAACGCGUAUCCAACCUGCCCAUCACUUGGGAAUAACCUUGCGAAAGUAAGACUAAUACCCAAUGACAUCCCACGAAGACAUCUGAAUGGGAUUAAAGAUUUAUCGGUGAUGGAUGGGGAUGCGUCUGAUUAGCUUGUUGGCGGGGUAACGGCCCACCAAGGCAACGAUCAGUAGGGGUUCUGAGAGGAAGGUCCCCCACAUUGGAACUGAGACACGGUCCAAACUCCUACGGGGGGCAGCAAUGAGGAAUAUUGGUCAAUGGGCGAGAGCCUGAACCAGCCAAGUAGCGUGCAGGAUGACGGCCCUAUGGGUUGUAAACUGCUUUUAUAAGGGAAUAAAGUGGGUCUCGUGAGACUUUUUGCAUGUACCUUAUGAAUAAGGACCGGCUAAUUCCGUG